rnacentral:tRNA from 1 species
GAGGGUGGCACUCAGUGGUAGAGCACAUGCUUAGCAUGCACAAGGUCCUGGGUUCAAUCCCCAGUACCUCCA